CGGUAAUACGGAGGGUGCGAGCGUUAUUCGGAAUUACUGGGCGUAAAGCGCGUGUAGGCGGGGAUGCAAGUCUGAUGUGAAAGCCCCGGGCUUAACCUGGGAAGUGCAUUGGAAACUGCAUUUCUUGAGUGCUGGAGAGGAAGGGGGAAUUCCCGGUGUAGAGGUGAAAUUCGUAGAGAUCGGGAGGAAUACCAGUGGCGAAGGCGCCCUUCUGGACGGCAACUGACGCUGAGACGCGAAAGCGUGGGGAGCAAACAGGAUUAGAUACCCUGGUAGUCCACGCUGUAAACGAUGAUCACUAGGUGUAGCGGGUACUCAUUCCUGCUGUGCCGCAGCUAACGCGUUAAGUGAUCCGCCUGGGGACUACGGUCGCAAGACUAAA
rnacentral:rRNA from 1 species